CUUAACAGUCGAAUGUCUCUAGGAGGUUAUGUUCCAGUUAAAAUCUGCCAUUUUGACUCUUAAUGCAUAAACUUGAACCCACUCACCCAACUGCUGAGAGCUGAUCUGGAAGCUGAUGAUCACCAGUUUCAGCUCCAGAAGCAGGAGACGAACAGUCAAAUGGCAGAACUGAGCAGCAGAGAAGGAGAGAAGAGAAGGAGCAACUGAAUGCUGAGAGGAGUUUGGCUAGGGAUGAUCAGAGAGGAGAUCAGCCACCGGAUGGUCAAACUCCAGGGAAGAUCAUCUGCCCACCCCAGCCCCCUUCCGGCUCCACAUCCAUCCUGCUGAGAGCCACCUCCAUCACUCAAUAAAACCCCUGCACUCAUCCUUCAAGUCCAUGUGUGACCCAAUUCUUCCAGG
rnacentral:lncRNA from 1 species